CGGGACGUAGCCAAGAGGUAAGGCGCCCGCUUUGGGAGCGGGAGAGCGCGUGUUCGAUCCACGCCGUCCCGA
rnacentral:tRNA from 1 species